UACAGAGGUCCCAAGCGUUACUGGGAUUCACUGGGUUUAAAGGGUGCGUAGGUGGUGCGUUAAGUCAGUUGUGAAAUCCCCGGGCUCAACCCGGGAAUAGCUUCUGAUACUGGCGUGCUUGAGGCCGGUAUAGGUUACUGGAACGGACGGUGGAGCGGUGAAAUGCGUAGAUAUCGGCUGGAACGCCAGUGGUGAAGGUGGGCAAUUAGGGCCGUUAUGACUCUCAGGUACGUAAGCGUGGGGAGCGAACGGG
rnacentral:rRNA from 1 species